AACGAACGCUGGCGGCAGGCCUAACACAUGCAAGUCGAACGCCGUAGCAAUACGGAGUGGCAGACGGGUGAGUAACGCGUGGGAACAUACCCCUCGGUUCGGAAUAACUCAGGGAAACUUGAGCUAAUACCGGAUACGUCCGAGGUUUUGAUCGACCUUGGAGAAAGAUUUAUCGCCGAAGGAUUGGCCCGCGUCUGAUUAGCUUGUUGGUGAGGUAAUGGCUCACCAAGGCGACGAUCAGUAGCUGGUCUGAGAGGAUGAUCAGCCACAUUGGGACUGAGACACGGCCCAAACUCC
rnacentral:rRNA from 1 species